rnacentral:rRNA from 1 species
GUGCCAGCAGCCGCGGUAAUACGCCAUGGAGCAAGCGUUAUCCGGAUUUAUUGGGUUUAAAGGGUCCGUAUGCGGAUGCGUAAGUCAGUGGUGAAAUCUCACAGCUCAACUGUGAAACUGCCAUUGAUACUGCGUGUCUUGAGUGAGGUUGAAGUAGCUGGAAUAAGUAGUGUAGCGGUGAAAUGCAUAGAUAUUACUUAGAACACCAAUUGCGAAGGCAGGUUACUAAGUCUCAACUGACGCUGAUGGACGAAAGCGUGGGGAGCGAACAGGAUUAGAUACCCUGGUAGUCCACGCUGUAAACGAUGCUAAUUCGUUUUUGGGGAUUUAUCUUCAGAGACUAAGCGAAAGUGAUAAGUUAGCCACCUGGGGAGUACGAGCGCAAGUUUGAAACUCAAAGGAAUUGACGGGGGCCCGCACAAGCGGUGGAUUAUGUGGUUUAAUUCGAUGAUACGCGAGGAACCUUACCCAAGGCUUAAAUGGGAAUUGAUCGGUUUAGAAAUAGACCUUCCUUUCGGGCAAUU